rnacentral:rRNA from 1 species
UACGGGGGGGAGCAAGCGUUGUUCGGAAUCACUGGGCGUAAAGGGCGUGUAGGCGGUUCGGUAAGUGGGAUGUGAAAUCCCCGGGCUCACCCCGGGACCUGCAUCCCAUACUGCUGAGCUUGAGUACAGGAGAGGGUGGGGAAUUCCUGGUGUAGCGGUGAAAUGCGUAGAUAUCAGGAGGAACACCGGUGGCGAAGGCGCCCACCUGGCCUGCUACUGACCGCUGAUGCGCGAAAGCGAGGGGAGCAAAGCGGG